CUGAAACAAAAGGCAGCGAGAGCACCGAGAUGGGGCUGGGGAAAAGUAUCGAGUUGUGUGUGUUAUCUACUCGAUAACACACACAAUGCACUCAGCGCUGCAAGCACUGCACACAACCAGCACAACCUGCUGGCUCUCCUUUCUAAACACAAUUACCUCCUUUGAUGAGCAAAUAACUCACCAGAGCUAUCGCAGCGCCAUCCUUCAGUCACACACAGCUCACUUAUCACGCUGCCUUAGCAUUGUCUUCAUCAUCUGAACCAAGCACUAACUUGAAGUAGAUGAGGUAUAAACAUUAUUAUAAUUAUGUUUUACUUUUUAAAGUUUUUUAAUAAUGGUGUAACAUUUCGUUAACAGAUUAUUUAAUUUUUUUUGUUUAAGUUUGGUCAUAUUUUUUGGUAAUUGUUGUAUGUUUCCAUGCGUAGAUAUUGAAUGGUUGGAAAGGCGCCACACUUCAGUCCAUCAAUGCCCACAUGAUAGUUUUACCUACAGCUUGUGGGAGAAAGUGCCCUGGUCCUUGCAGCAUCCCAACUACAGAGCCCUGCUUCUCCCAUUCUGUGAGAACAAUUGCUGCUUAAUUGCUCCAAAUCUCCCGGCAAUAUGUUUGUAACUGGGAAAGCCGCAGUUCUUGCAAUGGGCGCCUGGAUUUACAAGGUAAUUAGUGUUGACAGUGUUCCCAAACCUGCUGUCGUGUCUGUGUGGAUGGCACUUCCAAACUGUGCUGGGAUACACACGUCCUUCUGUGCUCAUGGUUUCUAACGAAUUACAACAGGGGAAAAAAAGGGGGAAACAUAAAAAAAAAAAAAAAAAAAAAAAAAAAAAAAAAAAAAAAAAAAAAAAAAAAAAAAAAAAAAAAAAAAAGGAAAGUUGUGGGAUUCAUUCAUUUUCGACCAAACUUACAUUGAAAAUCUGUUUUUUCAUAUAAUGGAUGCACACUUCUGAUAUACAGCAGCUCCAGUUCUUUGCUCUCAAGACAAACAACUGCAACGAAAGCCUGAAUGAUGAGAAAUAAAGACACAUCAUUUCUGGUCA
rnacentral:lncRNA from 1 species